UUGCCUACGGGAGGCUGCAGUAAGGGAUCUUGCGACAAUGGGCGAAAGCCUGACGCAGCAACGCCGCGUGCGGGAUGACGGCCUUCGGGUUGUAAACCGCUUUUCGGGGGGAAGAGGAAGGACGGUACCCCCGGAAGAAGUCUCGGCUAACUACGUGCCAGCAGCCGCGGUAAAACGUAGGAGGCGAGCGUUAUCCGGAUUUACUGGGUGUAAAGCGCGUGCAGGCGGUUCUGCAAGUGGGACGUGAAAGCGCCCGGCUCAACCGGGCGAGGGCGUACGGAACUGCGGGACUAGAGGCAGGGAGAGGCGUGUGGAAUUCCGGGUGUAGUGGUGAAAUGCGUAGAGAUCCGGAGGAACACCAGUGGCGAAGGCGACACGCUGGGCCUGGCCUGACGCUCAGACGCGAAAGCAUGGGGAGCGAACGGGAUUAGAUACCCUAGUAGUCAC
rnacentral:rRNA from 1 species